rnacentral:rRNA from 1 species
CAGUAGCCGCGGGAACACGUAGGUGGCAAGCGUUGUCCGGAAUUAUUGGGCGUAAAGGGCUCGCAGGCGGUUUCUUAAGUCUGAUGUGAAAGCCCCCGGCUCAACCGGGGAGGGUCAUUGGAAACUGGGAAACUUGAGUGCAGAAGAGGAGAGUGGAAUUCCACGUGUAGCGGUGAAAUGCGUAGAGAUGUGGAGGAACACCAGUGGCGAAGGCGACUCUCUGGUCUGUAACUGACGCUGAGGAGCGAAAGCGUGGGGAGCGAACAGGAUUAGAUACCCCCGUAGUCCCUGUCUCUUAUAC